AGUGAGUCGGAUUGAUAUUGGUUUGGAUCAAAAUGGGUUUAUGGAUCCAACCCGUUUUUUCUCAAGUAAUCUAUAAUUCGUCUCUUUUUUUCUUCCUUUUUCUAGCUAGCGAACUCUUUGAUCUCUCUUCAACACAGACACCAUUGACAUCGAUCACCACAUCAAUCACACCUUUUGGGUCAUUGAUUUUGGGUCAUUGAUCACAACACAACAACGUCACCUUCGCUGUGAGUCAAAGUUCAGGAGAAGGAGCUAAGGUGUUGUUCACCGUUCUUGGAACGCUCAUCAAUACCAGGGGAAGAUGCUGCUACUGAUUUGAGAUUUAAUGAAUGGAAGGUUGUUCCUGAUAUAUGAAGAUAAUCUGCGGAUAAGUACGGUGGCAGAGUUGCUGUGCUUGAUCCCUUUCGUAUGGUUUCGUUUUCAUCUGUUUGUUAAGUGUUGGAAUGUUUCUACCAUGGCAAGUUAAAAGAAAAGAACGCCUUUCACAAAGACUUUAAAGCAAUAGUCAAAUGAAGAUACUCUGUUUUAUUUUUAUGUUUUAUAAUUUUUUGUUAGUUUUUUUUUAACUUUUAAAUUUGCAUAAUCAAAUUUUAGACAGUGUUAGUAAUAUUUUUAUUUAAAAUUUACGUAAUUAUUUGCUUA